UGACAACUCCAGCAACUUUCUCUAAUUCUUAUUACCCCUCCUAUCUUACCCAUCAUCUUAGGUAUUCAAAUGCUUUUUGUAUUUGUAGGGAACAGCUACAAUGCUUCACCCAGACCGAUGCACAUCACAUCAGAGAGGAAGACACAUGUGUGAUUCAUUUUGCUAAGCCUCAAGUCUAAGGAUUUACCUAAGGACCCAGGAAUGUUGUGAGCUUUCCUUCAGGGGUUCCACCUCCCAGGCUCUUACUCCUCUUUGCUGUGGUCUCAGAAACUCUCUCUGUGGUCUAGAGUCAUGGCUGUGGGCUGGUGGAGAAGAGAGAACGUGGCAAUGCACUCAUUUCCUCAUUUCCUUGGUUUGCCUGUGCCA
rnacentral:lncRNA from 12 species